AUUGAACGCUGGCGGCGUGCCUAACACAUGCAAGUCGAGCGGUAACAGGUGUAGCAAUACAUGCUGACGAGCGGCGAACGGGUGAGUAAUGCUUCGGAAUCUACCCAAUGGUGGGGAAUAACCAGCCGAAAGGUUGGCUAAUACCGCAUACGUCCCACGGGAGAAAGCAGGGGAUCGCAAGACCUUGCGCCAAUGGAUGAGCCGAAGUCGGAUUAGCUAGUGGUAGGGUAACGGCCUACCAAGGCGACGAUCCGUAGCUGGUCUGAGAGGACGACCAGCCACACUGGGACUGAGACACGGCCCAGACUCCUACGGGAGGCAGCAGUGGGGAAUAUUGGACAAUGGGGGAAACCCUGAUCCAGCGACGCCGCGUGUGUGAAGAAGGCCUGCGGGUUGUAAAGCACUUUUAGU
rnacentral:rRNA from 1 species